AUCUGGUCCUUGGCAGCCUUGCGUGGCUGGUGGCUGGGCCCACCUGCCUGGCAGGCACCCUGUCCUUGUGCUAAACUGUGCCAGGCUCCUCAGAGGCUAAUAUCAGUAUUACAGUACUAAUUUAUUAGACAUGGAGAGAUUUUUAAAUUUCACUUUUGUGCAGUUAUUUAAAAUUUAAAACGAUAACGUCUGACCCAAUUAAAUUUCAGCUGAUCACUCUCCAAAUGCACAGUCUUAUAAAAUAUAAAUGAGGAAUCUGAAGAACUCUUAUAACAACUUAAUCUCUGUGUAGACGAUCUGCUUUUGGGGUUGUCUAGGCAUGAGGCAGACCUUAGGAAAUGCAGAAAGAAGGCAAACUAGGCAGAUCCGAUUCUGAAGAUUAUCUCAACUGUCUAACUGUCCGGGACUGUCUCCUGUGCAUCAAAUUCAUUCUGUUUUGUAAUAAUGAUGCCUUUUUAUGUGGCCUUUCUCUUGGGGGAUUUCUGGCAUUUUCAUAAUUUAGUGGCUCCAGCGGAGACAGCCUGGUUUUCCAGCCUCUGGGCAGGUCCCCGGGAGGCUGGUAGGGGCGGCCAGGCCUGCCCCAUCCCGCCCUGGGCACUGUCUCCCCACUGGUUUGCGUGUAGACCUGCCAGCCUGCUGACCCCCCACAGCGAGCCUCCCUUCCCAGAAACACUCACAGCAUGCGUGGCCCCGCUCGAGGGCCUGGAAACCCACCCGGUCCCAGGCUGGACGGUCAGCAUGGCCACCACCCAGACCCUCGCCGGGCAGAGCUGGCCUCCUGAGGCUGGUCGGAGCAGGACAGGAGACCGGUGGGGGUGGGGCCUCCACGCGGGCCCACGGCCCUCUGGGUCACGCGUCUCGUAGAGCCUCCUCUGUUGGGCAGCUGUGGUGCCACGUGGUCUGGACGCGCAGAGUCGGGGCCUCCAGCGGGGGUGGACGAGGGACCCUGGGCCGCAGGAGCUUCUCCCGCACGUCGACACGGGGCAGGAUCAGGGUGGCCCCGGGCAUGGGGUGGGGCAGUGUGAGGGUCCCCUCGUCCAGAAGAUCGGGGGCCUCAGAGCUGGAAAGAGUUGGUCCUGUGUGUCCCAACUGUGACCUGAUCGGAACACCGAGGAGCCCCAGCUGCUGGCGUGCGGUCUGGGGAGCAAGUCCUGCUCUGGAUUCAGCCGCGGAGGCUGUGGCCAGGCCACCGCUGCCCUGCCUGGCUCCGGGGCAGGAGCCCUGACUUUGCACCUACGGCUCCCCUGGAGACUCAGGCAGGAGUCCAGUGACGUUCAGCUGCCAUUUCACUUGGGCCACGUGGUCACGUGUCCCUGAUGUGACAGAUGCGGUUCGUUUCUCCUGGAAACGUCUGUGCUCCCGUUGCGGGUCACGGUCCUUCAUUUCAGAGACUGUCCUGGAGUGGUUCUCGUAGGGACGACAUCCCCAGGCUUCAUUUCUGGUGCUUUCCGUCACAGGUGCUCAUUGAGCAGGGAUUCAGGGCAGCGGUCCCUCCCCGCGGUGCCUCAGAGGGGCCGUCCUGCCGUCUGCCAGCUCCCGCUUCCUCCUGCUCGAGGGCGCGGUCCUGCCCAGAGGCUCUCGUCCCUGAGCACCUGCUUCACGCGGCUUGUGCCCAUUUACACGAGGGGCACAGCCGGGGGCCCCGACGCCAGGGCCUUCAUCCCGCUGGGCUGGAGGACCGCGUGGCUUCUUAGAACAAGACGCUCACGGAAGCUCGUGCGCAGUGAGCCGAGCUCAGGGCCUCCUCAGCGUCUCCCCAAGACCAUCUCGCAAACCAACACUCCUCUCAGCAGGCCUGAGACUCAGCCUUCGCCUCCGCCCGCCUGGCGCUGGGUGGUGCUGCUCACUGUAGCGUUUUUCCGAGCCUUGAGAGCUGAGGAAGCUGCCAGCUCUGAGAGCCUGGAGGUCAGAGAGAAAGCCAGGCAGCCCGAAGUCCUUCCACCUUCGCCCUGGGCCAGACGGUGCUGAAGCUGUUCUGAUUCAUGUCCGGGCUGACGCCUUGCAGGUUGAUUUAAACGGGGGAUCUUCCAGCCCCUUGGCUUCACUGACCCCUCUCUGUUCCUUGUUAAAUGGAUCCCAGGCACGACAUCCUUGCCAUUCAGCUGCCACUGGAAACUUCACGUUGAUACGAAUGAGCUGGGUGUAUUUUCAUUAUUUUCUCCAUGCACCUCAGCUCGCGGCCUGGGUGCCCCUCUGAGGACACGGUGCGGCACGUCCCCGCGGGCACCUCAGUGUGAAUGUGGAUGCCCCCUCCCCUCCACGGAAGCCUCUGGACCAGAGCCCCGCUGUCCACCCCCUUCUCUGAUGGACGGAUUCACCAGAAAGGCUUUAUGGAGGAGAGAGGGGGCCUGUGGGCUGAAGCCGGGAGGUUCUGACGUAGGCUCUCUCCGAGUGUGGCUUUCCUAAAGAUCGUCCAUAAACCUAGACGUGACCCACCCAGACAGCGUGUGAAAAGCAGAGAUACCACUUUGCCGACAAAGGUCUGUCUAGUCAAAGCUCUGGUUUUUCCAGUGGUCAUGUGUGAAUGUGAGAGUCGGACCAUAAAGAAAGCUGAGCGCUGAAGAAUUGAUGCUUUUGAACUGUGAAGAAGACUCUUGAGAGUCCCUUGGACUGCAAGGAGAUCCAACCAGUCCAUCCUAAAGGAGAUCAACCCUGAAUAGUCCUUGGAAGGACUGAUGCUGAAGCUGAAGCGCCAAUUCUUUGGCCCCCUGAUGCAAAGAGCUGACUCACUGGAAAAGACCCUGAUGCUGGGAAAGACUGAAGGCAGGAGGAGAAGGGGACGACAGAGGAUGAGAUGGCUGGAUGGCAUCACCGACUCAAUGAGCAUGAAUUUGAGCAAUUCCUGGAGACAGUGAAGGACAGGGAAGCCUGGUGUUCUGCCGUUCAUGGGGUCACAAAGAGUCAGAUAUGACUUAGCGUCUGAACAACAAUAAGACGUGCCUCUCAGUUAAAUAUCUUAAUUUUUCAAAGGAGGAAACAGCUCCGAGAGAACCUCUGCUGGGUCUGGAGUCACAGAGCAAGAGUUCAAAGGCCCAGCUGGUGUGGCCUCCACCCUGUGGCUCCUCGGGCCCCCAGCCUCGGCAGCGGUCUUCCUGCAGGCGGGCCCCCACCACGCAGCCAGCUGUGAGGCCCGGGCUGCCCUGUUUGCCCAAGUGGGCCUGGGGCUCACGCGCGAGCAGCCAGAGUGUAAA
ensembl:lncRNA